rnacentral:misc_RNA from 1 species
AACGGUCUAUACCUGCGGUACCUGCGGAGGGAUCAUUAUUGAGAUUAUUUUGACUUUUGUCAAAGGUUCUCCACCCAUUGAUUUUAUACAAAUGUAUAAGAAUUUUAGCUUCGGUGAGACGAUUUGGGAAACCAAACGAUUGGUAGUGGUCAAUCGAGUAUUGAUCAGUAAACUAUUGAUCUGUGUUCACCGAUAGCAUAUAAACUCAAUAAAAUUUGUAUUUGUCUGAGACUAUAAUAA